GAAAAAGUUUGAUGUUCGAGUCCUCUCAAGAACUGGUGAUUACCUUAAAGCAAGAGACAAACUGAGGGCCUCACUGACCUGUAAUACCUCUGAGUUACAAACAGAUGAUGAGGAAGAAGUCAUUAGGAAGAGAAAAAUUAAGCCAAGGCAAAUCUUUGGUGAUACAGAUUCUGACAGUGAG